rnacentral:misc_RNA from 1 species
UGAUAAGCCAUGUUCUUCGCAAGCUGGUGAAGAGAUAACUGAAGAUAAUGUGGUUAACCUAAGGUUAAAGGAGCCAGGAUCAUCCUCUGCAGGCGAGAUUAGCAUGAAGCUGUUCGGGAAAUACAGUGAAACAGAACAUAUGGUUAAUGACAAGGAACCCAAAUAUGUUUUAAAUGAGCAAGUCGAUAGAAAACCUUCUGCUGGUCUAGAUAUCCAAAAUCUGGCUCUGGCCGAUAAUUUAAUGGCCGAGGCCCAAACGAAUUUGGGACAAACUGAAGUUAGCAGUUUGCUGGCUGGAAAUGGUCCUGGAGAUGCACUGUGUUUCUCAGGAGUUGCUAAAAGUUCUUCAUUAUUACACUCCUCAUCGUCACCCAG